GAGAAUGCAGUGAUGGGGAGAAAGCAAUUCCCAGCCAGCUUCAGAGAGCCGCCGGAAGGUGCAAGGCGGUGCGGCAGGUUUUGCGUCACUGGCCCCGGAGCAGCCGCGUUGAUGGCCGGAUGGCUGUAGGUGCGGACGGAACCUGACCGUUAUCAUGCAGGCGCGAUUCGCCCGAUAGAGGCCGAUCGUACAGAGAGGCCGCCCGUUUGUACAGUGGCGGCAAUGAGAGUGGUACCGCGGGGUACAGCAAUUUGUAUUUGCUCCCGUCUCUCAA
rnacentral:ncRNA from 1 species